GCCACGGGCGCUGGGCUUGGAACCGGAGCCCUGCCCUGGGUGCCCCCUCCAGCAGCUCUGGGCUGGGGCUGUGGACAGCAGGGAGCGUUUAUCCAGACACCUGUUGCUUCGGGAGUGAGAUGACGGAACUGAGUCUUGGAGAGCUCGAAGGGCUUGGUUGGAGGUCACACAGCAAAUGGCAGAGCCAUUUCAGCAGAAGUGAAGUGAGGAGGUGGGCAGAUCCCACAGACAAUUCCUGAGGAGCUGCUGGGUGUCUUGAGAGGAGGUGACCGGCGAAGGCACUAGUGCUUCCUUCAGAAGAGAUCUUAGGACCACUGCCGACGACGAUGAUCACAGAAGGAUGUGGCUGAGCCAGCCUGCGUCCCGGGGGCUCAGAGCGGGGAGCAAUCACCCGCAGAUAAAGGAUGGGGAGAGGCUUCAGGGAGGAGAUGGGACUUGAAAGGGCCAGGAGGAUCAGUAGCUUUAGAAACAUGUAGAUGGCACACGCGUGCUCUGGGUUGAGGGAGGAACUUGGUAAGGACAUGGGGUUGGGGCAGAGCUGCAAAUAUUCUAUCUUUUCAGGGACUGAGGGCAAGAGUGGAGGCAUGACACCAGACCGGGCUUCAGAGGCAGCUUGGGGGUGACCAUCAAGGGGGCUGGGUCCGACAUGCAGUUCAGACUGUUGACAGUCGGGGAGCAGGGAGCACGGCGAUCAGGGGUCAAACUGCUGGAUGCAGGACAUCGGCCCAGUGGUUCGUUCCAUGGGUGCCCCUCUGAGACAGUGAGACGCAGGGUCAGGAUGGCAGCUGCAGGGGAUUCUCCAGCACAGACACAAAAGGAGCCUGGAGGAGAGAUUGGUCUUCCUGAUCUAUGUGUGCAGACCCUUUGCAGGGAUCUGGGUAAUCACCAUCUGAGACCCCACAAGUGUGAGGCUGUAAGUUACCCAAAAAUUCUUAACAGAACAGAAGAACCACUUAAAAUGUAGUCCCUGCGUGACAUUUCUCCUCGCCAGCAUCAGUCUCUACCCGUCGCGUAACACCUGUGUCCAUCCGGUCCUCUUUGGUUGUUGGGUGGGGUCAGCAGUUGACCAUACGAUGCCACAGACUGCAUGGUAAAACUGCCGUCCUGCGAAAGUUGUGGGUUUUAAUGACUCCAAUCAAAGGGGAAGAUGGAGGACUCUUUUAAUCCCGCCCAAAGUCGUAGACAAAUGAGAAUUUGGCAGAGGUAGGCCAAUUACUAACACAAGGAGAGAAAAUUGGCCACACUGAGUUUAUGGUGAUGUGAAGUCGCUCAGUC